CCUUUUCUGCAGAGCUUACCCCUUCACCCUGCCUUUGCAUUCUCACUGAAGUCACCACGGAGCUUGCUCUUCCUCAGGACUCCAUCCCCCGUGCUGAGAGUGAACGUAGAGGUUGGAGCAUGUUGACCAGGGCAGGGGCAAGGCUUGCUACAAGCGAAGACAAGGGAAGUAUAUAAGACAGAAGCAAGGUCUCAGAGAGACAUUCUUUCUCCAGUCAUGCUGAGGAAAGGUUACAGUCUGAGGCUCAUGAAGACAGGACCAGCCCAUCCAGCCUGAGGUAGAGGUAAGAAGCUAGUGGCCAGCUGCUUUGCUUUUCUGAUCUUCAGCUUGAAGCUUGAGCCCCCGGUAUCAGUCUCUGUGUCUUUUGUUUUUUCGUGUGACAUA
rnacentral:lncRNA from 1 species